rnacentral:tRNA from 1 species
UGGGAUGUAACUCAGUGGUAGAGUGUUGGCCCAGCGUGCAUGAGGCCCUGGGUUCUGUCCCCAGCAACACAC